rnacentral:rRNA from 1 species
GUUAUAGGAUCAAGUGACUAAGUGCAUGCGGCGGAUGCCUUGGCGAUCACAGGCGAAGAAAGACGCGGCAGCCUGCGAAAAGCUGCGGGGAGCUGGCAAACGAGCUUUGAUCCGCAGAUAUCUGAAUGGGGGAACCCACACCGCAAGGUGUAUCCGUAGCUGAAUACAUAGGUUACGGAGGCGAACGAGGAGAACUGAAACAUCUAAGUAUCCUCAGGAAAAGAAAUCAACCGAGAUUCCGGCAGUAGCGGCGAGCGAACCCGGAGGAGCCCAGCUUUUGAUAGUACGAACUUUAGCCGAAAGGACCUGGAAAGGCCUGCUAUAGUGGGUGAUAGCCCCGUAGGCGAAAGAGUUGGUACGGUACUAAGGAAGCGAGAAGUAGAGCGGGACACGUGGAAUCCUGUUCGAAGACGGGGGGACCAUCCUCCAAGGCUAAAUACUCGUGAUCGACCGAUAGUGAACCAGUACCGUGAGGGAAAGGCGAAAAGAACCCCGGGAGGGGAGUGAAAUAGAACCUGAAACCGCAUGCAUACAAACAGUAGGAGCCUUUACGGAGGUGACUGCGUACCUUUUGCAUAAUGGGUCAGCGACUUACAUUCUGUGGCGAGCUUAACCGAAUAGGGGAGGCGCAGCGAAAGCGAGUUCGAAAUGAGCGUUCAGUCGCAGGGUGUAGACCCC